rnacentral:rRNA from 1 species
GACGAACGCUGGCGGCGUGCCUAAUACAUGCAAGUAGAACGCACAGUUUAUACCGUAGCUUGCUACACCAUAGACUGUGAGUUGCGAACGGGUGAGUAACGCGUAGGUAACCUGCCUGGUAGCGGGGGAUAACUAUUGGAAACGAUAGCUAAUACCGCAUAAUAUUGAUUAUUGCAUGAUAAUUGAUUGAAAGAUGCUAUUGCAUCACUACCAGAUGGACCUGCGUUGUAUUAGCUAGUAGGUGAGGUAACGGCUCACCUAGGCGACGAUACAUAGCCGACCUGAGGGGGUGGGUGGCCACACUGGGACUGAGACACGGCCCAGACGCCUACGGGAGGCAGCAGUAGGGAAUCUUCGGCAAUGGACGAAAGUCUGACCGAGCAACGCCGCGUGAGUGAAGAAGGUUGUCGGAUCGUAAAGCUCUGUUGUAAGAGAAGAACGGGUGUGAGAGUGGAAAGUUCACACUGUGACGGUAUCUUACCAGAAAGGGACGGCUAACUACGUG